rnacentral:lncRNA from 10 species
GACAUUGAGUGCCUGGAGCCCUCCCUAGCUCUCCAGCUGGAACCUUCCUCUGUAGGAAGGCUGAGGCUAGCAGGGAGAAGCCAGGAUGGAUUUUAAAGAGCCUUGUUGUCUCUAAGGAAGAGUGGAGCUUACAUCUUUGGGUUUGCAGAAAUGCCCACAUUCAACUCAGGGGGAAUAAAAGGAUGGGAGUUAGAAUUUCAACUUGCAGUUGCAGAAUCUCAGAGUUAAAAGAAACCUCAGAGGUCAUCUCUUCCAACCCUUCUCCAGAGCAGCUUUAAUUGCCUGUGUGGGAGAUUCAGGGCCAGCAGCUGCAGCUUCCCUUUCCCUGCCUCUGACUUGCCAGAAUCCUGUUACACCUGGGAUUUAGGCACUUUCAAUCUGAAAAAAUACAUAUCCUUUCAGCACUCUGGACGGACUUGAGAACUGUCCUUACGUGACCUAAAGCUGGAGUAUUUUGAGAUUGGAGAAUUAAGAAGGACAGAAUAACGGGCUCCCAGAUUCACAAGCCCCACCAAGAGGAUCACCCCAGGAACGCUUGGAGGCUGAGGAGUUCACUGAGGCUACUGCAUCUUGAGACUCAGGAUGAAGACCCAGCUUGGGGCUGUCAAAGGUUUUUUGCAUGUCUGACACCCAUGACUCCACCUGGACCUUAUGGCUCCACCCAGAAGCAAUUCAGCCCAACAGGAGGACAGCUUCAACCCAUUACGAUUUCAUCUCUGCCCCAACCACUCAGCAGCAAGCACCUGUUACCUGUCCACCCCCACCCCUUCCCCCAAACUGCCUUUGAAAAAUCCCUAACCUAUGAGCUUUGAAUAAGAUGAGUACGAACUUCAUCGCCCACGUGGCGUGGCCGGCCUCGUGUCUAUUAAAUUCUUUUUCUACUACAAUGCCGU